rnacentral:rRNA from 1 species
CCUACGGGAGGCAGCAGUGGGGAAUAUUGCGCAAUGGGCGAAAGCCUGACGCAGCGACGCCGCGUGAGGGAUGAAGGUCUUCGGAUCGUAAACCUCUGUCAGCAGGGAAGAACGGUCACUGUGCUAAUCAGCAGUGAAUUGACGGUACCUGCAAAGGAAGCACCGGCUAAGUCCGUGCCAGCAGCCGCGGUAAUACGGAGGGUGCGUGCGUUAAUCGGAAUUACUGGGCGUAAAGCGCUCGUAGGCGGUAUGUCAAGUCAAGGGUGAAAGCCCCGGGCUCAACGUGGGAACUGCCUUUAAAACUGGGAAACGGGAUGGUGUUAGAGGAUAGUGGAAUUCCAGGUGUAG